GACAGAGGGUGCAAACGUUGCUCGGAAUCACUGGGCGUAAAGGGCGUGUAGGCGGGAGAGAAAGUCGGGCGUGAAAUCCCUAGGCUCAACCUAGGAACUGCACUCGAAACUUCUUUUCUUGAGUGCCGGAGAGGAAAGCGGAAUACCUGGUGUAGAGGUGAAAUUCGUAGAUAUCAGGUGGAACACCAGUGGCGAAGGCGGCUUUCUGGACGGCAACUGACGCUGAGGCACGAAAGCGUGGGGAGCAAACAGG
rnacentral:rRNA from 1 species